rnacentral:misc_RNA from 1 species
UAAUGAAUACCCAUAAAGAGUUUUCAACAAAAUUAAUAUAUAGCAAGCAAGUGAAGACUGAAAAUGAUACCAAAAUGUGCAGAGGAAGUAGGAGAAGGACUAGAGAGAGAUGAAACCUUCUCCAACAAACAAGCCAAACAUGAGAACCAGAAGGCCAACGGUGACACACUGAGUGGCGGAGAUGAGAGUCUGUGAAUAAGCAGACAAGGUGAUGGCUGCACCAACCAACCGUAUCAAAAGAGCACCCAAACUUUGAUUCAUCUUGCUUAUACAGCUUCAAUCCUUUUCGAUUAAUGUUUGAAAAUACCAGGCUUUGGCCA